AGCAGCCGCCGCGGUAAUACGUAGGUGGCAAGCGUUGUCCGGAAUUAUUGGGCGUAAAGGGCUCGCAGGCGGUUUCUUAAGUCUGAUGUGAAAGCCCCCGGCUCAACCGGGGAGGGUCAUUGGAAACUGGGAAACUUGAGUGCAGAAGAGGAGAGUGGAAUUCCACGUGUAGCGGUGAAAUGCGUAGAGAUGUGGAGGAACACCAGUGGCGAAGGCGACUCUCUGGUCUGUAACUGACGCUGAGGAGCGAAAGUGUUGGGGGCGAACAGGAUUAGAUACCCCUGUAGUCCCUGUCUCUUAUAA
rnacentral:rRNA from 1 species